UACGGGGGGGGCAAGCGUUGUUCGGAAUUACUGGGCGUAAAGGGCGCGUAGGCGGCCUUAUAAGUCUCGUGUGAAAGCCCUCGGCUUAACUGAGGAUCUGCACGGGAUACUGUAAGGCUCGAGUUCGGGAGAGGAAAGCGGAAUUCCGGGUGUAGCGGUGAAAUGCGUAGAUAUCCGGAGGAACACCAGUGGCGAAGGCGGCUUUCUGGACCGACACUGACGCUGAGGCGCGAAAGCUAGGGGAGCAAACGGG
rnacentral:rRNA from 1 species